CUUCUGAAGCAUUUUCGCCUAAACAUCCAACCGGAACUAAGGAUGAGUUCAUAAUUUGCCAGCCGUGAACUAAUAUUUUGUGGACAGUCGGAGACAUUAGGUACCAAGGAUAUAUACUUAAGUACAUUGAAAAUGUGCUCUUACAAAAUUCCUUAAAUUUGUCAACAUCUACAGAAUAGUGAGACGAAAUGGUAAUCAAAAUCACGAAGAAAUUGUGUAGAAGGGCUUGAUCAAAUUUUGUUACUGAUGAAAACAAACGGGUAUUAGAGAAGGCUCUUCUGGCUGUGUUUCCGUCAUUACUAUUGCCACAACCAUUUUGCUUGGGCAUGUUUAUAUGGAGACCCAUUUGUUUCCACAUCAUGUCUUGAAUAUUCUUUUUUCGAGACAUUACUUCCAUUUUGUCAGCCUGCUUAAUAUGCCACUUUCGAAUUUCGAGCCUAUAUGACACAUUUAGAACGAAUUCAAAAAAACGAAUCCAGGCAUGCAAUGAACUCGCGCCGUAUUGAAGACUUUCAGGUCUUGGUGCAAAGUUUCCUGAAUAAAAAUCUGUGGUUUCCAGAAGCUCUGUUGCCUUAAAUCUUUGCAACAUUCGAUUGCACUGCGGCAAAUAUUUUUUGACGUGAUUCAG